UACGUAGGAGACGAGCGUUGUCCGGAGUUACUGGGCGUAAAGGGUGCGCAGGCGGCCUGGCGCGUCGCGAGUGAAAUCUCCUGGCUCAACUGGGAGGGUGGUCGCGAGACGGCUGGGCUUGAGGCUCGGUGAGGGGCGUGGAAUUCCGGGUGGAGCGGUGAAAUGCGUAGAUAUCAUUUGGAACGCCAAUGGUGAAAACAGGCAGCUGGGGAAGUGCUGACGCUGAGACACGAAAGCCAGGGGAGCGAACGGG
rnacentral:rRNA from 1 species